rnacentral:lncRNA from 1 species
CACAAUGCUUUUAAGGUUUUACCUUAUCUUGAACAAUAUGUCCUCGGUGCCAAUCAUGUCACUAGAGUCAAUGUCACCUUUAUUUACUAUGGAUCAAGUCUUUUCUCACUUUCACAUACAUAUAGGGUUGUUCAUUUUCUCGUUCUCAUGGCUCUACAAUAUAUUUGCAAUGUUCAUAAGCAGAUAAUUGAUACAAUCAACAUUUAUCUCAUUACCCUACAUGCAUGAAUACAACAUUAUC